GGAAACAGGCAGUCAAUUGAAAAACAUCCUAAAUGGCAUUCCACGCAGCAUCAUCACCACCACCACCAUGACGAUCCACAUCAUCAACAUUAACAAAUGUGGUUGACACCACCACCACCACAAAAUGCAGCGACCUAGAGAUUUAGUAUCCCUCUCGUGGGCCAUUUUCUUAAUUCUGAAAGGAUUGUGGAGAAGUUUGUACCUCUUUAUACAUUGUUGAAGACAAACAACAACAUUCUGAAUAUGCUGUAUUCUAGAUGGCUCAGUCUUGAGUAGACCUUAUAUAUACAGGAGGAAGUUUUCAUUUGCAAAGAAGAAGAGAUGAAAGCAUAGACAAUUGGGAGGUGGAAUUGUGAUGGUGUAUUACACCAACAAUCACAUAGACUUUUUGCUAAUCAGACUGUAGACAUAGGUCCUGAGGCAAGAAAUGGCGAUUUCAGAAUUAAAGAUGAUACAAAACAUAUUGACAAUGGAGAAAAAUCCGAGCAGUAGGCCUGAGGUGAGCAUGGAGAUAGAAGAGAUGGAAUUAUAUUAGAAGAUGUUACUCUAACCCAUGAUUUGUCCCCAAUUCUGCAAGUCCCCUUGCGUUAAAAAACUCUCAUUAGCUUUAAUGGGAGUUUUGGGUGUACAAGGAUUGAAGAACUGGGCCCAUGCUUAUGUGGCUCCAUGGAAGCUAUUCCAUUUUAAACCAGUUGAAGAUCUGACCCAAAUACUUAUGUUCAGACAUUUUUUUCUGUAAUGUAUAUUAAUUGUAUAUCAAACAAGGGUCAGCAAUUCUGUAAGGAAAGCCCCUGGCGGGCCAGGGUGAUGUGUUUACCUGCCCCGUCUGCAGGUCCAGCUGAUCACAGCUCCCACUGGCUGUGGUUUGCUGCUCCGGG